AUGACAUUCAUCACAGCCCAAGUCAGAUGCUUAAUGUGCAUGAAACGAACACAAGCUACAAGCUCCUGUCUAAAGAGUCAAAGAGAAACUUGGGCUGGAUCAGUGGCUGAGGUGUGUGUAUGUCAGGCUGGGGCGAGGACCCGGUCAGGACAGGUGCAGGGACCGAGCGCUGGUCCUCAGCUCAUGCUCCCUGCACUAAUUAAGUUUUGGGGCUUUGUGUGGCCGUGCUUGGUUACUCUGGCAGGCUACGAGGACUCAGUGUGCAGGGAUUUACCUAUAAGAGACGUAAUGAACAUGGUCUUACUUCUUCAAAUCACAUGUCCUUUGUUCAUUCUCAUGGGAAAGGGUCUUCUUCACGCUCCCCUUAAUCCUGUGCUUGAAGCCUGUUUUUACUGGGCUUCCCUUUUCUUUCUAUCUCUCUCUCUAUCUCUCUUCAUCUAUCUUUCUGCUACACCCUCCAUCACAACAGAAGCUUGUAGCUACAAUAGGGGUUAUUUUAAGAGCAGAUACUAACUCACUUGGGACAUUUGUUGCACUCACCUCCAUUGGUCACUUCCUUUGACAGGCCGGAAGAUUAGAAGCUGCUGCCGCAGGACUUGCUGCAGUUACAAAUCAGACUGAUGUAUUGUUUACAAUGAUACAUUUCUUAGCUGCUUAAUUACUUUAUAUUACUGCAUUCAUUUAGAUUUCAGCCAUUAAUUCUUUCAUCAAACUGUUAAUGGUCAAAUAUGCCUUUUUUUUUUUUCGGUGUUAAAAUAUUUUUUUCUGCCAUUUAUAGGUUGAUCCCAAAAAAUAUGACAUUUGUGGUGGCUCUUAGAAAAAUACAUUGUUUGUUUUUGCUAAAGAGGUUUUCUCCGCUACCUAGAGAAAGCAUGUGUUAGUGUUCCUCUCAAUGGCAGUGACUUGGCUGGCAAAAAAAAACAUUAAAAACAUGCUAACUUUAUUUGAUCUAUUGCCCAAGGUAUUUCUCAUUGUCCUUUAGUUUCAUCUGAUGUACUAAAACCACUAAUACUGAAAUAAAAAUUAAAAACUAUAUAAGCA
ensembl:lncRNA